UAUAUAAUAUAGUACUGAUGGAUAAUGUUUCUUUAAUUAAAACCUAUCAUUCUAUUGCCCUCAGAGAGCCGAUAUCCAGUUGCUAGGUUUCUCAUCCCUGUUCAGCUUCUAAAGUUUUCAAGUGAAUAACUCAUUUGGAGACUGACAAAAAAAAGAAAGAAAAAAAGCACAGGAAUGCCUAGAAUGCUGCUCUAGGCAGAAAAAAAAUCCUAUGCAAUAACAUUUCUAAAAAUUCUAUUUUUCUUAUCUGUCUUUUUCCCCAGCAAGCCUGUUGAAUUCUGUGCCUUGUCUGUGUGAGGACUGUGCCAGCAGCCAAGGUUUAGGAACGUGGUAGGAGCAUAGGCUCUCUUCUCAGACAGUAGAGAAAAUAAAUGCACGUCUAUCAGUAGAGUCACUUGUUUUAGGUUGUUUUUUUUUUUUCCCUCAUCUGUUGCAAGUAAACAUUGCUUUGGAAGAUGAAGGUCGAGAAACAAGAGGGGUGACAGGUACUAAACAAAGGAAGGGGAAGGGAGCAGUCACACAGCCUAGCACCCCAGAAAGCUAGGCUUGCCCUUUUCCAAAAUGCAAGGAAAUGUCACACUUUCAAACUUAUUAGCACACAAUAUUAACUUAUUAACAGUUGAAAACAGUAAUAUAAAUUCUAGAUAAUUCUGUGUGGAAGAUAGUGUUCAGGAACAGUCUAUGCACAGGCCCCACAUUUAUAAAUAGUUAAAUCCUUGAAAAUUCAAUUCAAGUUAUAUGAUUGAACUGGGAUUUUUCACAAAGGGACCGUGAUGAAAGUGGGCAGUGUGUUCUCUACUGGCUGACAGUAUGCACUGUGUAGUCAAAGCAGAACAGUCUAGUUCCCCCUACACACACACACACACAUGCACACACUCACACGCACUGUCUGCUUUACAUUUUUACAGAUGGAAGACUUCUAAAUAGGUUGGAUUUCACCUACAUUGAGUAUAAAUGCUAGCUCUAGAUGUUCCAGUCACGUGAUUUCAGCCAUGAUGCCCUCACAUGGUUUCUGUAAGAUUUUGUCUCUAGAAAAAUGGAGUAAUGAUACUUUUCCUCUGAAAUAUUCUAAGAAUUAAGACAGAUGGUCUAUGGAAAGCACUCAGGAAUGGCUCUCAGAGUAGACAUGUGCACUCAGCAAAUGCUUGUUAUGAUCAUCAGGUGUGGACUGGGCUUUCACCUCGUUCUCCUCACUCGCCUGCAGACACUGAAUCAUCGCUGCAUUCCACCUCUCCCAGAAUAAAGCAUCAUUCAAUGCCACUCCCUGCCAUCUUGUUGGCUCUGUCAUAUCUCUGCAUGGCUAGAAUCUAUCCUCUAGAACCCUGUUGCAAUUGCCAAUUAAUUAUACUCAAAUUGACCAGCAAGUGGUGGCACAUUCCUCACUGCUUGUCCCAAUGUUCUGAGUUUCCAAAUGAAAGAGAGAGAGAGAGAGAGAGAGAGAGAGAGAGAGAGAGAGAGCCUUAUAUCUUAAUAUGUCUUAAACAGCUCAAUGGCUGGGCCACUCCAAAAUCUCCACAUGGCUAACACCUCCCCUCCAAUAUUCCUGAGGUAUGGCUUACUAAAAUCUAUUUUCCAUCUUCACUGCCCUAGACCAAAUUGGGGGUUCCCUGGAGCCACUCUUCACUGGCUCCUACAUAAUUGCUAUACUCUCUAUUCUGCAUCUCUCAGGCCUGGUCCUUACUCCUUGCCCUCCAUGGUGGUUCUAUAUCCUUCCUUGGUCCCCUUGCCCAGGAAUCCUAAAGUUCCACCUGUCUCCCUGCCCAGCCAUUGGUUGCAGACAACUUUAUUUACCAAUCAAAACCAACUGAGAGAAGGGACCCUCAGCAUCUUAAUACAGGUUCAGGUAAUUUUGGGGACUCAAUGAACGUCAUACAAGCAUUAGACCAAAUCCACAACAGUUUCC
rnacentral:lncRNA from 1 species